rnacentral:rRNA from 1 species
AGCAGCCGCGGUAAUUCCAGCUCCAAUAGCGUAUAUUAAAGUUGUUGCAGUUAAAAAGCUCGUAGUUGAAUUUCGGGGUUCUACCGUUGGUCGGGCAAUUGCCUGUACUGGCGUGUGGAAUUUCUACCUUCUGGGGAACUAUCAUGUUAUUAAUUUAACGUGGUGGGAAACCAGGACCUUUACCUUGAAAAAAUUAGAGUGUUCAAAGCAGGCUUAUGUCUGAAUACAUUAGCAUGGAAUAAUAAAAUAGGACGGUGGUCCUGUUUUGUUGGUUUCUGAAUCACCGUAAUGAUUAAUAGGGAUAGUUGGGGGCAUUAGUAUUCAAUUGUCAGAGGUGAAAUUCUUGGAUUUAG